rnacentral:lncRNA from 1 species
AAGUAUCGAAUUAACUUGUAACAUACUCUUGAUUAUUGCUUGUUAAUCAUCAAAAUACCACUAUCAUCCUCAAUCNCCCCCUUUUUGAUGAUUACAAAAUAUAGAGUAUGAGCCUAUUGAUACUUAUCUUAAAAUCAGUUUUAAAAUGGCUCAAUUUGCUGAAUUUUAGCUUUUCAAAUAUGAGAGUGAAGUCUCCCCCUAUUUCAUCCAAUGUUUCCAAUUUGACUUUUUGAAUUGCUCCCCCUUUCUUUUAUAUUUCAUUAAAGAUGAAACUUCAAAAAUUUGAGAUAAAGCAUGAGUUUCAGAUUAUGUAUCGAGGUGUGAAAGGUAUGUGCCAAAUUCUGAAAUUCUAUGUGCCAAAUUCUGAAAUUCAAUAGAAAUUUUAGAUUUGAUCAUUUUUAUUGUUACAAACUGCUCCCCCUUAAAUGUAUAUGCUUUCCUAUUGUAAUUUUCAACUUGUUUGACAACUUAUUUCUCUUUUCUUGCUCAACUCAUUUCUCUUUCCUUACUUCUCCCCCUUUUUGUUAUCAUCAAAUAGGUGCAUAGACACAAUAAUUAACAAACAUUUAAACUUCAUUGAUCAAAAAGGAAUAUUUUAGUUCAAUAAUGCCAAAACAAAAACAAAUACAAUGUUCCUCAAUCAAAGUUCAAAAUACAUGAUCAACACAAAAUACAUAUGAGAACUAGAUA